GAUGAACGCUGGCGGCGUGCCUAAUACAUGCCAGUAGAACGCUGAAGCUUGGUGCUUGCACCGAGCGGAUGAGUUGCGAACGGGUGAGUAACGCGUAGGUAACCUGCCUGGUAGCGGGGGAUAACUAUUGGAAACGAUAGCUAAUACCGCAUAACAGUAGAUAUUGCAUGAUAUCUGCUUGAAAGGUGCAAAUGCAUCACUACCAGAUGGACCUGCGUUGUAUUAGCUAGUUGGUGAGGUAACGGCUCACCAAGGCGACGAUACAUAGCCGACCUGAGAGGGUGAUCGGCCACACUGGGACUGAGACACGGCCCAGACUCCUACGGGAGGCAGCAGUAGGGAAUCUUCGGCAAUGGGGGGAACCCUGACCGAGCAACGCCGCGUGAGUGAAGAAGGUUUUCGGAUCGUAAAGCUCUGUUGUAAGAGAAGAACGAGUGUGAGAGUGGAAAGUUCACACUGUGACGGUAUCUUACCAGAAAGGGACGGCUAACUACGUG
rnacentral:rRNA from 1 species